rnacentral:rRNA from 1 species
UACAGGGGGGCAAGCGUUGUUCGGAAUUACUGGGCGUAAAGGGCCAGUAGGCGGCCAACUAAGUCACACGUGAAAUCCCCAGGCUUAACCUGGGAACUGCGUGUGAUACUGGAUGGCUUGAAUUCGGGAGAGGGAUGCAGAAUUCCAGGUGUAGCGGUGAAAUGCGUAGAUAUCUGGAGGAACACCGGUGGCGAAGGCGGCAUCCUGGACCAACACUGACGCUGAGGAGCGAAAGCCAGGGAGCAAACGGG